ensembl:lncRNA novel transcript
CCUGGAGACUGCAAGGGUGGUGUCUCACUAUGUUGCCCAGACUGUUUUCUAACCCUGGCCUCAAGCAAAUUUCCCACCUCCUUCUCCCAAAAUGCUGGGAUUACAAGUGUGAGCCACUGUACCCAGCCUACUUAGGAGGACAUUUACUAUUCACUUACUGAUUUGCAUCAAAUUAUUGAUUGGUGGUGUUUCAGAAGGUGGAAGCUCUGCCAGCCCCACAUACAGCCUGAGUGAGACAUGCCAUUCAUUUGUUAAGCAGCUGAGGGUUUGUAACUGCUUGUGACUGCGGCAUGUCCAAGAAUGUUUUGUCUGAUGCACGACAAUGAGUGAAUAUAUAAUGAUUCAACAAGAGCCAUAGAGUUUUAAAAUGUGUUACAUUUUAUAGGAAAUACAGUUACUUAGACUUAUAAAA